AAUGCCGUGAACAGAAUUGUAUCCCAUAUUCAAGGUGUGGCCUUACAAGUGAUUUACAUAGAGGGUUUGGAAGGAAGAUUGUAUCUAGGGGAUCAAAUCAAUUAAUUCACAGUGACUGCUUCCGCCUGCAUAUAUCGGACAAGGACAGGACUCUCCUUAUAAUUUUCUGCGUGAGAACAAAAAGAAAAAAAAAAGAAAAAAAAGAGAGAAGAGACAAAAGUGCGAAAAGGAAAACACAGAAAAAAGGAGAGAGAAACAGAGAGAGAAAGAGAGAGGAGAAGUGGACUCAGCUUUCUGACAAAAAAGGAAACCACAAGUCAAUAGAGCCAUGCACCAAAAAAGUGGAAGAGCCUUUCCUACUCCACAGCAGCAACUUCCUGGAGCACACCAAUCCCGUUCAUGUUCAGUCAUGGAAGUCUUUUUUUAAAUAUAUAUAUAUUCCUCAGCAAAGUGCAAAAUGUUUUUUUUGUCAUUUUUU